rnacentral:lncRNA from 1 species
UUGAAGUGUAAUAAACUUACACUCCAAGGCCACCCAUUGGCAAGGGUAGGAUGGUCAUUUGUUAUCUCUCUUUGUGGACUAAUAUAAAUAGAUAGUGUUAGGGUUAUUUUGGAGUUAGUUCAUUCAUGAUAUUUUGAGAACACAAGACAUGUAAUAUUUUGAACUCCUCUCUUCCAUUGGAGAAGCUCAAAAUCGAAAUUCCCAAUUGGAGUGACACUUGGGUUGAAUCUUGGCUAGAAACUAGGAUCUUGAGGUCAUUGAGUUCCUCUUGGUCCAAGUAGGAGCUUGGUAAUAAUAUUCUUUAGUCUUAGGUUCCUUUUAUGUUGUUAGGGUUCUUAGAUUCUUGAAUAUUGUAUGUCAAGUUACUAUCUUUAAUUUAUAAUCUUGUUGUUUGUGUGGUAACAUAGUGAAGCCGUGUGGGGCCAUUUUCGAUUCACUAUAGUUGCUGCCACUUUGUUGCUCUUGUUGUUGUUAUUUUAAUCUUGUCAUCUCUAUCAUCUUGUCAUUUUUUAUAAACCUUGAAGUCUAGUGAAGCCGUGUGUGGCCUAUUUCGAUUCACUAGCAUUGUUGUUGUUCAUCUUGUUAUUCUUGUAUUGGCUUGACUCUCUUGAUACACACUCACUUUUGUAUCAUUUGGUAUCAAAGAUUGUGGUUGAUUUUGUUCCAACAAAAUCAAUCUUGGGCUUGGUAGUUGAAAAAUACCAAAAAACAAAAAGAAAAAAAAAAGGUUGCUGAAAUCUGAAAAUUCUAGAAAAAAAAAGAAAAAUCUGUCCAUCUUAUUCUUGGCCGAAAAAAUUAUGUUGUGUUGUUGUCUUGACCAAGAUUGGUGUUUGUGUGUUUAUAUCUAGAUGUUCUUUUGUUUGUCUAGUUUGUUUCUUGUGUUGAUUUCUUUCUCAUCAACACAAAAGGUGUCUAAAGCUAAGUUGAGCUUAAUAUAUUGACAUUGCUAUUGUGGACUUGAAGUGGCAGUAUGAUGAACUUGAAGAAGACUGAAUUUGUGUGUUGUUGCUUGACUUUAAAGUGGGCUAUUAUUGGUGAAUUGUGGUUGUGUUGUUGAAGUAUUGUUGUGGUGUUCAUCUUGAUCUUCAAUUCAUCUCAUAUCUUGACCACUAUAAAGACUAAAAUAGACCUAAAAGGGUUGUAAGACAAGGUUGUAAAGUUGUUUGUGAAAAGACUUGCCAACAUCACUUCCUUGAAUUAACAACCACUUUUCCUUAAAACAAGGAGCCUUGUCUUGUGGAACUAGUAAAGUCAAGCCUCAUCUUUUUGAGUUGGAAAAAUUUGAAAAGUUACAAAACUUUACUUUCCCUCCAAAAGUAAAGUCAUCCAUUACAAAAUUGUGAAGAUUAAUGCUUCAAGUUGUUGAACAAAAUGUAUGGACCCGUGGUCAAUUUCAUGCUGCCACAUCACCUUAAUCACUGUUCACGUUAUUAAUUAAGCUCAAUUUGGAUAUUCUAGUUUCUAAUUAUUGAUUCUUAGUUUCUUCUAAUUGACUCGAGAACUAAUUAGCAAGCUAGUACAUUCCUACUAGGUUGUCAAUUAGUCCUUUGAAGCCUUGUAUUCGUGUCAUCGUUUGUUUGUGUGCUUUUUGUCGUUUGAAUACGUUGUAACUCCUUGACUCUUGUCCAACAAGAAUUCUUUGAGUUUCAAGCAAAAAUCUACUCCGAACAAGAGCAUACUCAAACCUUAAGGAUUCAUGGGUUACUAGCUAAUCUACAACACUUGUAGAGCUCGAGUGUGAGUAAUCCGAGAGUGUGUGAGUGAUGAGAGAUUUCAAACUAACUUGUUUGUUGAUUGUGUAGGUGAUACCUUGACAAUGAAGGGAACCACAUCUCAAACCAUGGAUUCUAAUGAAAUGGAGAAUAUGAGGGUCACUUUUGAGGCUAUGACCCAAGCUCUUGAAAGGUUGAGUAUGAAAGUUGGAGCCAUAAGGGGAGAAAUGACGACUAUUAGUGGGAGGUUAGAACAAGUGGAGAGUCAAAGGAACUCUCGUCCUUCUACUCCUCGACAUGUUUCGUCAAAUGGACAUGAUAAAAAUUCCUCCUCCACCGUUACUCCCAAAACAUGGCCACAAUUGCCAAAUCCUUUACUAGCUCCACUAAAUGCCGCAAGCCAAACCACUCAUAACCCCCUAAACCGAGACUCCAAUAGACCAACCCAUUCCCAAACUCUUCAAUUUCUGCAAGAGGGACUCAGACGUCAAAUGCCUCCACAAAAUCCGAACCCUUCCUUCCAAGCUCCACUAAACCAAAGACCACCACCUCUACAAAAUCCAAUCCCUCCAAAUCAAGUUCCAAAUGUCCGAAACCAUCCCGUCCACUUUGAGGAAUAUGGUAGAGAGUAUUAUGAAGGGUAUAGAGCCUUUGACGAUGCUUAUAUGAGGGAAGAAGAGAUGGGAGGAGGAGUGCGGAUCCAAGAAGAUACCAAGGGUAUGGAGAAAGGCAAAAUCGACACUAAGAGAGAGACGUAUGCAUCAAUACCAUCAAAUUGAUUCUACCUAUCUUUAAGGGUGAAAGUGACCCCGAGGUGUAUCUUGCUUGGGAGUCGGCAUGUGAUAAAGUGUUUCAAGUGAAUGAUAUAUCGGAGAAAAGGAAGAGUUGUUAUGCCAUAGCUCACUUUGAAGGCUAUGCUAACACAUGGUGGAAAUAUGUCAAGCGGUUUGGUAAUGAGUUGAUUGAUGGACAACUACCACUAUGGUUUCGGUUGAGGUAUCUAAUGAGGCAACAGUAUCUUCCCAAAAGUUAUCGUUAUGAGUUGUUUCUAGGUUGUACAAUUUGCGACAAGGUAAUCGAAGUGUGAUGGCAUAUUAUGAUGAGUUUCAACAACUCAUGUUGAAGCUUGAUCAUCGUGGAGAACAAAUUGGCCAUGACAUCAUUCGGUUCAAGGUGUGGGUUGAACAAAGAGAUCUCCACUCAUUUGACGCUUCACAAGUUUGAUACCGUUGAAGGAAUUUUCCAAGUGGCUCUUGAGAUUGAAAUAGAGCUUAAAGAAAGGUCGUCGUUCAAGGCCAAGGGACCAUCAACCUCGGGUUGGCUGAGGAGCAAAGAUAUGGUUCAACCAUCUUCGGGUUAUCCCAAAAAUAAGGACCAACCCGCCACUAUAUGGCUUCCCAAGCCUAAAAAUGUCCACAAAUUUCCUUCCCAACAAGAAGCUCACAAGUAUUCUAAUCCUAAAGGGUUCCAAUGUUUUAAGUGCCAAGGUUGGGGACAUCAAUCCAAUGAAUGUCCAAACCGAUGCAAUGUGAUCCUAAGGAAAGGGAUAUUGUAUUACCUUGGUAAGAAAAUGGGUUUUCAAAAAGAAGAGAAUGAGGCCGAGCCUUAAGAUGGAGAGAAACCCAAAAGUGAGCCACAUAAUGAUGAUGAUGAUGAUUGUGAGGAUGCUUAUCCACAAGAAGGGAAGCGCGUGGUUCCAAACUUUGUAGUGAGGCGUGCCAUGAUUAGUAAGGCGAUAAAUGAUCCUAGCCAACGGGAGAAUCUAUUCCAUACUAAAUGCCUUGUGAAGGAAAGUGUGUGCACUUUGGUGAUAGAUAGUGGUAGUUGUGCAAAUGUUGUUAGUGUUGCUAUGGUGAACUUCUUGAAAUUGCCAACUACACUUCAACUAGCCUUUAUAAGUUGCAAUGGUUGAAUGAAUGUGGGCGAAUUGAAAGUCACGAGACAAUGUGUGAUACAGUUUAAGGUGGGAAACAACUACGAUGAAGUGCUUUGUGACGUAAUAACAAUGCAAGCGUGUCACUUGUUGUUAGGUAGAUCUUGGAAAUAUGAUAUGUUUACCAAACAUGAUUGGAGGUCUAAUCGAUAUACACUUGAGAAGGAUGGACGAAAGCUCACACUUCAUCCACUUUUGCCUUCACAAGUGAACGAGUUGCAUCAAAGGAUGAGAGAAUUGAAAGAAAAGGGAAAAAAAUACAAAAAUAAAAAAAAGGAACCCGUGGGUGGGGUAGUGGGGAUAUCCGGGGCUGCCUCAAUAUCAAAGGGAAAAGAAAACAUGGUAAUGUUGGUUAGAAAGAAGGAGCUCUUCAUGGAUCAUGAUGAUGAGACACCUAUGCUUAUUUUGGCACAUUGUUUUAACACUAACCCCACUAAUUCUUCUAUUUCUCCUUUGAUUUCUUGUGUGUUGCAGGAUUAUGAAGAUGUUUUUCCCAAAUAACUUCUACAAGGGAUGCCUCUGCUUCGGGGAAUUGAGCACCAAAUAGAUUUUAUGCCGGGAUCACAAUUGCCCAACAAACCGGCUUAUAUGAGCAACCCGAUGAUACCAAGGAAUUGCAACGCCAAGUUGAGGAACUCCUCAACAAAAGGUAUAUCAAGGAGAGUAUGAGCCCUUGCGCGGUCCCGGUGCUAAUAGUUCUCAAGAAAUAUGGGACUUGGCAUAUGUGCGUUGAUUGCUGAGCCAUCAACAAGAUAAAGGUAAAAUAUUGUCACCCUAUUCCUAGGUUAGAUGAUAUGCUUGAUGAAUUGAGUGGUUCAUGUUUGUUUUCUAAAAUUGAUUUGAGGAGUGGCUAUCAUCAAAUCCGUAUGUAACUGGGUGAGGAAUGGAAAACUGCCUUCAAGACCAAAUUCAGUCUCUAUGAAUGGAUGGAUGCCAUUCGGCGUAACAAAUGCUCCAAGUACUUUCAUGAGGCUAAUGAAUCAUGUGAUGAAACCUUUUAUCGGAAAGUUUGUUGUUAUCUACUUUAAUGAUGUGUUGGUGUAUAGUAGGUCCUUAGAUGAGCAUGUAAAACAUUUACAAUGUGUGUUUGAUGUCCUCCAAAAGGAGAAGUUAUAUGCUAAUUUAGAAAAGUGUUCUUUUGGUGUCCAAGAAGUUGUAUUUCUCGAUUUUGUGGUGAGCUCAAGAAGGGUCGAAGUGGAUGAAUCUAAGAUUGACGCUAUCAAAAAUUGGCCAACUCCCAAAACCAUAGGUGAAGUGAGAAGCUUCCACGGGUUGGCUAGUUUUUAUAGACAUUUUGUUAAAGGAUUUAGCACCAUUGCCGCCCCUUCGACCGAAGUAAUUAAAAAGGAUCGACCUUUCAAGUGGGGAGAUGAACAAGCUAAGGCCUUUAAGGACUUGAAAGCUAUGCUUAUCUCGGCCCCUUUGUUACAAUUGUCGAAUUUUGACAUGACUUUUGAGGUUGAAUGUGAUGCUAGCAAAGUUGGUAUAGGCGCGGUUUUAAUGGAAAAAUAGAAGCCUAUUGCCUACUUUAGCGAAAAGCUCAAAGGAGCAACUCUAAACUACUCUAUGACGAUUUAGAGUUGUAUGCCUUAAUUAGAGCCUUGGCCACUUGGCAACAUUAUUUAUGGCCUAAAGAAUUUGUGAUCCGAACAGACCAUGAGUCCUUGAAGCAUUUUCGGGCACAAAAUAAGAUUAACAAACGGCAUGCCAAGUGGAUUGAGUUUCUUGAAACUUUCCCUUAUGUUAUUCAUUACAAAAAGGGUAAGGACAAUGUGGUUACCGAUGCUUUGUCUCGGAAACACGUUCUUGUGUCUACUUUGUCUUCAAAAUUGAAGGGUUUUGAGAUCUUAAAGGAAUUGUAUCCCGAGGACCCUCACUUUGCUCCUAUCUAUAGGGAAUGUGAAGAAUGGGGUAGGGACAAAUGGGAUUCGGCUUGGGGUUUAAAUCCCUAUGCCAAGUUUGACGGUUACUUGUUUAAAGGUAGGCGAUUGUGUGUACCCUCUAGCUCUUGGAGAGAGUUAUUUGUGAGAGAAGCACACAAUGACGGUCUAAUGGGUCACUUUGGAGUGGAAAAGACCCUUGGAAUAUUGGAGGAGCAAUUCUAUUGGCCAAAAAUGCACAAGGAUGUGUCUAGGAUUUGUGGCCAAUGUGUAGAUUGCAAAGGAUCCAAAUCUCAGCUCCAACCUUAUGGGUUGUACACCUCGCUACCCACCCCCUUACAUCCUUGGCUUGCUAUAUCUAUGAAUUUUGUGUUAGGGUUGCCAAGGACUAGAAUAGGUCGGGAUAGUAUCUUUGUUGUGGUUGAUCGGUUUUCUAAGAUGGCAUACUUUAUUCUAUGCUCUAAAUGUGAUGAUGUACCUAGUGUGGCCUCUUUGUUUGUUGAUAAUGUUGUCAAGUUGCAUGGUGUUCCGAGGACCAUUGUGAGUGAUAGGGACUCUAAGUUCCUAAGUCACUUUUGGAAGUCCAUGUGGGGUAGGCUUGGUACCAAGUUGUUGUUCUCCCCUUCUUGCCACCCACAAACCGAUGGCCAAAUGGAAGCAGUAAAUAGGACAUUGGGUGCUAUGCUAUGUUCAAUAAUUAAGGAAAAAUUGACUUCUUGGGAGGAACACCUAGCAUUAAUUGAGUUUGCCUAUAAUCGUGUCAUACAGUCAAGUACGGGAAUGACUCCCUUUGAGAAUGUAUACGGCCUCAACCCCCUUACCCUUUUGGAUUUAACUCCUUUGCCAAGUGAUCUUAUGAUAACCUAGAUGGAAGAAAGAGGGCAGAUUUUAUGAAAAGGUUGCAUGAGAAGGUGCGGCUUCGACUUUAGAAGAAAAAUCAAGAGAUUGCAAAGUGGGUAAACAAAGGAAGAAACUCAUUCUUGAAUCGGGAGAUUGGGUGUGGGUGCACCUUAGGAAAGAUCGGUUUCCAUCUCAAAGGAAGACCAAAUUGAUGCCAAGGGGUGAUGGUCCAUUCCAAGUACUUGAAAGAAUCAAUGAUAAUGCCUAUAAGAUUGACCGUCCCCCAUAAUACCAAGUGCACAACACUUUCAACGUGUGUGAUCUGUCUCUAGUGGAUGCGGUUAAGGGUGACCAAAUGUCAAAUUUGAGUUCAAAUUCCUCUUAAGAUGGAGAGGAUGAUAUGGGUGUACCAAGUUGUCCAACAAGUUCUACAAGUUGUCCAACAAGUUCACGACCAUUCACACGUAGCCAAGCUCGGGAGUUACAAAAACUCCAAGCUAUGUUCAUGCAAAUGGCCGUGUGUGAGUUGGUACUUGAGCCUUCCAAUGGAUUAAAUGUUUUUAAGUGUGAAGAGGAACCUUGAAGUGUAAUAAACUUACACUCCAAGGCCACCCCUUGGCAAGGGUAGGAUGAUCAUUUGUUAUCUCCCUUUGUGGACUAAUAUAAAUAGAUAGUGAUAGGGUUAUUUUGGAGUUAGUUCAUUCAUGAUAUUUUGAGAAUACAAGACUUGUAAUAUUUUGAACUUCUCUCUUCCAUUGGAGAAGCUCAAAACCGAAAUUCCCAAUUGGAGUGACACUUGGAUUGAAGCUUGGCUAGAAACUAGGAUCUUGAGGUCAUUGAGUUCCUCUUGGUCCAAGUAAGAGCUUGGUAAUAAUAUUCUUUAGUCUUAGGGUCCUUUCAUGUUGUUAGGGUUCUUAGAUUCUUGAAUAUUGUAUGUCAAGUUACUAUCUUUAAUUUAUAAUCUUAUUGUUUGUGUGGUAACAUAGUGAAGCCG